AUCAAGACCUUUCUCCAAAUCAUUCCAAAGUUUAUAAUAUUAUAUUCUUCUAGAAAGUGCAGCAGUAAAAAAAAAAAAAAAUGGUCGAAAUUCUGAUGAAGUCUGCUUUCUUUGUUGCUUUGUUGCUGGUCACCAUGGUUGCAGAUAUUCCAUCCUUUAAGGUUGAAGCAAUUCAUGAAUGUGAUAAUCCACAGGAUUGUGAACCACAUUGUCCUAUAUCUCUGGCACCUGUUUGUAUUGCUCAUAGAUGCAGUUGUUGGGCCAAGAAAAAGAUGGAAGUGGCUACUACACAAGGAGUGAUAAAUCCCAAAAAUUGAUGUAUUUUAUUGAAUUGUAGUACUAAAAUUGAUAUGUGGACUCUGAGAUCUUGAGUAAUAAAUACAUCUUGCAAUAUUUAUGAAUU